rnacentral:rRNA from 1 species
GCGCGAAAACUUUACAAUGCGGGAAACCGUGAUAAGGGAACUCCGAGUGUCCGUAAAUGCGGACUGUCCGUAUGUUUAAAAAGCAUGCGAAGAAAGGGCCGGGCAAGACCGGUGCCAGCCGCCGCGGUAAUACCGGCGGCUCGAGUGGUGGCCACUAUUACUGGGCUUAAAGCGUUCGUAGCUGGGUUGUUAAGUUUCUUGGGAAAUCUACCGGCUUAACCGAUAGGCGUCCAAGGGAUACUGGCAAUCUAGGGACCGGGAGAGGUGAGGGGUACUUCAGGGGUAGGA